UCCGAGUUGACCCCGGCAGUCUCCUACGAGUCCCCGGCAUUACCCGCUGGCAACAUAGGACAAGGGUUGCGCUCGUUGCGGGACUUAACCCAACAUCUCACGACACGAGCUGACGACAGCCAUGCACCACCUGUGCAGGGCCCUUGCGGACACCACAUCUCUGCGGCUUUUCCCUGCAUGUCAAACCCAGGUAAGGUUCUUCGCGUUGCCUCGAAUUAAGCAACAUGCUCCGCCGCUUGUGCGGGCCCCCGUCAAUUCCUUUGAGUUUCAGUCUUGCGACCGUACUCCCCAGGCGGCGAACUUAACGCGUUAGCUCCGGCACGGACCAAAUGAAUGGCCCACACCUAGUGCCCAACGUUUACGGCGUGGACUAC
rnacentral:misc_RNA from 1 species